rnacentral:rRNA from 1 species
UAAGCGGAGGAAAAGAAACUAACAAGGAUUCCCCUAGUAACGGCGAGUGAACCGGGAAGAGCUCAAAUUUGAAAUCUGGCGUCCUCAGGGCGUCCGAGUUGUAAUCUAUAGAGGCGUUUUCCGUGCCGGACCGUGUCCAAGUUCCUUGGAACAGGAUAUCAAAGAGGGUGACAAUCCCGUACUUGACACGACGACCGGUGCUCUGUGAUACGUCUUCUACGAGUCGAGUUGUUUGGGAAUGCAGCUCAAAAUGGGUGGUGAGUUCCAUCUAAAGCUAAAUAUUGGCGAGAGACCGAUAGCGAACAAGUACCGUGAGGGAAAGAUGAAAAGCACUUUGGAAAGAGAGUUAAACAGUACGUGAAAUUGUUGAAAGGGAAACGAUUGAAGUCAGUCGUGACCGAGAGGCUCAGCCGGUUCUGCCGGUGUAUUCCCCUCGGUCGGGUCAACAUCAGUUUUGUCCGGUGGAUAAGGACGGUAGGAAGGUGGCACCCUCGGGUGUGUUAUAGCCUGCCGUCGCAUACAUCGGGUGAGACUGAGGAACGCAGCUCGCCUUUAUGGCCGGGGUUCGCCCACGUCCGAGCUUAGGAUGUUGACAUAAUGGCUUUAAACGAC